rnacentral:lncRNA from 1 species
AUGGCUUUCCCCAACUCAAGUUUGAGCCCCCCGCAGGGUCUUUGUGUUUCUUCUCCAGCACCAGGAGCUGUGCCUACACGGAGAGGGCCUCAGGGCCUCCACAGACAGCUGCUGCCAGCAAAAGGUGGAGUCGGGCAGCGAGCAGCUCUGCCCAGGAGGCCGAGGGGUGCAGGCUGCUCUGCCCCAGUGGCCCAGCUUGGCCUGGGCUUCCUCGAGGAACAGAUGUCCUCAUUGAACUGGGUUCCCUUCCCAGGCAGAGACGCCAGGACUCCAGUUGGCCUCAUUCCUGUUCCCGAGAGGAAGUAUCCAUCCCCAGGCAGGAAGCGGCCUGGCUCCCAGGGAAAGUCACACACAGCACUUUCUCUGCUCCUAGCUUCGGAUGACCUUGGGGCAGCGGAUGGCCAUGCCGGCCUCCACUCGGCCACUGCCACUGGAGCAAGGAGGAAGGUGGGCUGGGAAGCCCCGCACAGCUCUUUGGCCUGUUGCCUCAUGGGAGCCUCACAGCCUUGCUGCAUGCGGCGGGGCGUGGAUCAGCCUCACCUGGCUGGAGUCCGUUCUUCUCGCUUCUCCGCAUUGUGCAGACGAGCAGACAGAGGCUGCGUGAGGGGCAGAGCCUGCCUGGGUGAGGAGACGGAGGCGCAGAGACGGACGCGGGCUGGCCAAGUCUCACCGCCUAGAAGCAUGGCGGGCCGAAGCAGAAAAGAUGGGGAAACUGAGGCAGGGGUGGAGUGGCCAGGAGCGAGGGCCUUCAGGGACCAGCCCCGCCCCGCGGCGCAGGGCGCUCUCCCAGGCGGGCUCAGAGACGCGAUCGGAGCGCCGCUCCCGCCGGUUUCCGCGGCGCCGGCGUUUUUGUCCCCAGCGCAUUCGUCUUUCAAGGCCCCACAGAAGCGGCGGUGGAAAAGCGGCCCGCAGUCCGCGUCAGCUGCGGUUCCGUCCUGUCGGUCCCCAAUGCGCGAACAAAGGCAUUUGCAUGAAAACAGGAACUCCGUCUGCUGGAAGGACCCGUUUGGGGGUGCAGCCAUGCGCUCCCGCGCCCCGCAGCUGUGCGCCGCUCCUCGGGCAGGGAAGGGAGCGGGGUGGGGGAUCGGCCGGUGGGGCGGGGGCGCUGCCCACCGAGCCUGCAGACCGCCCCCUCCCUGGCCGGCAGAAACGGCCGUCUGGGCCGCGCGCGCUUCUGCCGACUCCUCUGGACUGUUUACGGAAGCGCGGGAGCAGGGCGCAGCCACCCGGGCACCCCGGCCUCGGACACCCGCCGCGCGGCGCGGGAGGAGCCGGGCAGCGGCGGCUCCAGGCCCCGGGUCCCAGCCCGCUCCUCACCUGUCCGACCCGGGCGCAAGAAUGUCACAAGGCCAUCUCCAGGGGGAAGCAGCUUCCUUGAGGGGUGCGCGCCUGGCACGCAGAAAGGGCUCCGUUGCCCCUUUCCAACGCUUUUCUCAGCCAUCUCUCUUGAAAUCCCCCCCGCAGGCCUUGGAGGCACAGGAUGUGUCGACAGCAGGCGCUCAGGAGCAAGGGAAACGUGGAUUCAAAUCCUGCUCUGCUCCUUGCCAGCUCUGUUACCAGCUCUGCUUCUUAAGGCCUCAGCUUUCUCAUCUGUAA